AGUGAACGCUGGCGGUAGGCCUAACACAUGCAAGUCGAACGGCAGCACAGUAAGAGCUUGCUCUUACGGGUGGCGAGUGGCGGACGGGUGAGGAAUACAUCGGAAUCUACUUUUUCGUGGGGGAUAACGUAGGGAAACUUACGCUAAUACCGCAUACGACCUACGGGUGAAAGCAGGGGAUCUUCGGACCUUGCGCGAUUGAAUGAGCCGAUGUCGGAUUAGUUAGUUGGCGGGGUAAAGGCCCACCAAGGCGACGAUCCGUAGCUGGUCUGAGAGGAUGAUCAGCCACACUGGAACUGAGACACGGUCCAGACUCCUACGGGAGGCAGCAGUGGGGAAUAUUGGACAAUGGGCGCAAGCCUGAUCCAGCCAUACCGCGUGGGUGAAGAAGGCCUUCAGGUUGUAAAGCCCUUUUGUUGGGAAAGAAAAGCAGCAGGUUAAUACCCCGCUGUUCUGACGGUACCCAAAGAAUAAGCACCGGCUAACUUCGUG
rnacentral:rRNA from 1 species